UACGGGGGGAGCAAGCGUUGUUCGGAUUUACUGGGCGUAAAGGGCGCGUAGGCGGCCACCGCAAGUCGGUUGUGAAAUCUCUGGGCUUAACCCAGAAAGGUCAACCGAUACUGCGGGGCUAGAGUGCAGAAGGGGCAACUGGAAUUCUCGGUGUAGCGGUGAAAUGCGUAGAUAUCGAGAGGAACACCUGCGGCGAAGGCGGGUUGCUGGGCUGACACUGACGCUGAAGCGCGAAAGCUAGGGGAGCGAACCGG
rnacentral:rRNA from 1 species